UUGUUGGUAAGGUAAAAGCUUACCAAGGCUUCGAUCAGUAGCUGGUCUGAGAGGACGACCAGCCACACUGGGACUGAGACACGGCCCAGACUCCUACGGGAGGCAGCAGUGGGGAAUUUUGGACAAUGGGGGCAACCCUGAUCCAGCCAUGCCGCGUGAGUGAAGAAGGCCUUCGGGUUGUAAAGCUCUUUCAGCCGGAACGAAACGGUUACGGAUAACACCCGUGACUACUGACGGUACCGGAAGAAGGAGCACCGGCUAACUACGUGCCAGCAGCCGCGGUAAUACGUAGGGUGCGAGCGUUAAUCGGAAUUACUGGGCGUAAAGCGUGCGCAGGUGGUUUUGUAAGUCAGAUGUGAAAGCCCCGGGCUCAACCUGGGAACUGCGUUUGAAACUACAAGACUAGAGUGUGGCAGAGGGGGGUGGAAUUCCGCGUGUAGCAGUGAAAUGCGUAGAGAUGUGGAGGAACACCGAUGGCGAAGGCAGCCCCCUGGGUCAACACUGACGCUCAGGCACGAAAGCAUGGGGAGCAAACAGGAUUAGAUACCCUGGUAGUCCAUGCCCUAAACGAUGUCAACUAGUUGUCGGGCCUUUACGGGCUUGGUAACGUAGCUAACGCGUGAAGUUGACCGCCUGGGGAGUACGAUCGCAAGAUUAAAACUCAAAUGAAUUGACGGGGACCCGCACAAGCGGUGGAUUAUGUGGAUUAAUUCGAUGCAACGCGAAAAACCUUACCUACCCUUGACAUGUAUCGAAGCCCGCAGAAAAGCGGGGGUGCCCGAAAGGGAACGAUAACACAGGUGCUGCAUGGCUGUCGUCAGCUCGUGUCGUGAGAUGUUGGGUUAAGUCCCGCAACGAGCGCAACCCUUGUCAUUAAUUGCCAUCAUUUAGUUGGGCACUUUAAUGAGACUGCCGG
rnacentral:rRNA from 1 species